GGCAAAGUCGGGCAGGUAUUUGUGGUCUUUGAGUACGGUGUGUUAACCCGGCAACGCAGCAAGAAAAUGGAGGCAGAAUGUAUUAAACCUGGCGAAAAAUACAGCUUUAAUCGAGAAAGGGGUUAAAACCAAAUGGCGCUGGGCAUGGAUAAAGGAAAACGUUGGAGAUGGAAAGCCGUUCAGCACUUGGUGCCACAAGAAUUAACAUCCUCACCAAUAUCAGAAUCAAGUCUAUUCUCCAGUAAGACCCUUUAAAGACUACAGUCCUUGUGGGGAACAUGGAUGUGAUAUUUCCACACACUCUCCAUGUAGGAUGCAGUCCUACACAGAAGUGUGAGAAAACUCACACACCCAAAGUGUUGCCUUUUAAGUUUCAUGAUUUAACCAUUUGUGAUUGGCAUUCCAAGUUUUUUUUUUUUUUUGGUGAGCUGGCUUAUUUAGCUCCUAAUAGGCUUUUUCUUCAAAAUGCAUAAAAGUCCUGUCAUGUUUUAGAUCACUUGAGAAAUAUGACACAAAUAUUAACGGUUUGUACUUAUAUCAUGAUUGACAUUAUCCACCGCUAAAGCAACUCUUUGCUUGGUACUGUGGUUAUAAAUAUGUUGUAAUGUUUCAUCUUUGACUCAUUAAUACGCUCUGUUAAGUUGAUUGAAUAAAAUAUCUGUAUAACAGUUGCCACCAGAUGAGUUGAAUGUUUUUUUUACAGUAAACAGAAGUGCAUCAUCAUCAUCAACUUCCACUCAACCUCCUAUUGUUCAGCCCUCCUUUAUGAAUAAUGUAGAUAUUAUGCUCCGCAAUGUGUGAUUAAAAGGGGAAAAAUGUAUUUGAUUCAGGAAAAGGAAUAUACAAGUUAGAGUUUUGUUGCUGUAUUUGAAUAUUCUGAGUGUCCUGUA